GCCCUACGGGGCGCAGCAGUAGGGAAUCUUCCACAAUGGACGAAAGUCUGAUGGAGCAACGCCGCGUGAGUGAAGAAGGGUUUCGGCUCGUAAAGCUCUGUUGGUAGUGAAGAAAGAUAGAGGUGGUAACUGGCCUUUAUUUGACGGUAAUUACUUAGAAAGUCACGGCUAACUACGUGCCAGCAGCCGCGGUAAUACGUAGGUGGCAAGCGUUGUCCGGAUUUAUUGGGCGUAAAGCGAGUGCAGGCGGGUUAAUAAGUCUGAGUUGAAAACCUUUGGGUCUACCGGGGAAUUGACUAACAAAA
rnacentral:rRNA from 1 species